CUUUUGAAUUCUGGAAUCUCCAAUUCGAAAUUGUAUUGUUUCUCUGCUGUGAAUUGGAAUAGACAGGUAAUACAAGGCCAGGUGAACUGUAUCAAGAUGGAAUUUUUAUUAAUUUGGCAUGUUUGCAAAAUGCUUUUAGUCUGGAUGGCAAUCAAAGCUCUGAGAUUUGAACUGAUGUCAAACCCUUAGGACAACUUCUUGGUGUUACCACAUGCAUGAUGACUGCAGAAAGCUCCAAAAAUCUACCAAAUAUCAUGUAUUCAGUGAAUUUGGAAUACCCAAAGCAUUCUUUUGAUUCUCCAGUGGAAAGAUACUUGAAUGUCUUCGAUGUCGGCAAUGCUGAAGAGCAGCCAUGUGAAAUGCAUGAACAGAGGAGUGGUUUUCAGGUUUAGACAGAGUCAGCCUGAUGGUGUCUAGCGCUAUUAUUCUUCUUGCCACUUAUGUAUGCCUCCUCACAGACUAUGAUAUCACAACUCAUUAAUCAGACAGCAGGCUGGCUUGAGUGAGAUCAGAGCAUGGGCCAAUGCCAGUGCUCCUUUUG
rnacentral:lncRNA from 1 species